rnacentral:rRNA from 1 species
GAUGAACGCUGGCGGCGUGCCUAAUACAUGCAAGUCGGGCGAACGGACGAGAAGCUUGCUUCUCUGAUGUUAGCGGCGGACGGGUGAGUAACACGUGGAUAACCUACCUAUAAGACUGGGAUAACUUCGGGAAACCGGAGCUAAUACCGGAUAAUAUUUUGAACCGCAUGGUUCAAAAGUGAAAGACGGUCUUGCUGUCACUUAUAGAUGGAUCCGCGCUUCAUUAGCUAGUUGGUAAGGUAACGGCUUACCAAGGCAACGAUGCAUAGCCGACCUGAGAGGGUGAUCGGCCACACUGGAACUGAGACACGGUCCAGACUCCUACGGGAGGCAGCAGUAGGGAAUCUUACGCAAUGGGCGAAAGCCUGACGGAGCAACGCCGCGUGAGUGAUGAAGGUCUUCGGAUCGUAAAACUCUGUUAUUAGGGAAGAACAUAUGUGUAAGUAACUGUGCACAUCGUGACGGUACCUAAUCAGAAAGCCACGGCUAACUACGUG